rfam:Toxocara canis scaffold35, whole genome shotgun sequence.
GGGGUAGCAGCUCAGUGGUGGAACUCCCGUUUCAUACGCGGGAAGACCUGGGUUCGAUUUCCGGCUGCCUUC